UUCCUGUACUACCGAUAACCGUUUGAGAGAAGGGAUGACACAGUAGGAUAAGCUAAGCACACUGUUGGUUAUGUGUGCCCAAGCAUUGAGGCAGUCAAAGUAGGCAAAUCCGCUUUGAUAAUGCUGGGAUGUGAUGGGGAGCGAAAUUUAGUAGCGAAGUAGCUGAUUUCACACUGUCAAGAAAAGUCUCUAUCGAGGUUAAAGGUACCCGUACCGCAAACCGACACAGGUGGGUGAGGAGAGUAUCCUAAGGCCAGCGAGAGAACUGUUGUUAAGGAACUCGGCAAAAUGACCCCGUAACUUAGGGAUAAGGGGUGCCACCAUCAGGUGGCCGCAGAGAAUAGGCCCAAGCGACUGUUUACCAAAAACAUAGGUUUCUGCUAAGUCGCAAGACGAUGUAUAGGAGCUGACGCCUGCCCGGUGCUGGAAGGUUAAGGGGAUCUGUUAGAGCAAUCGAAGCAGUGAACUUAAGCCCCAGUAAACGGCGGCCGUAACUAUAACGGUCCUAAGGUAGCGAAAUUCCUUGUCGGGUAAGUUCCGACCCGCACGAAAGGCGUAACGAUUUGGGCACUGUCUCAACAACAGACUCGGUGAAAUUGUAAUUCCGGUGAAGAUGCCGGAUACCUGCGACAGGACGGAAAGACCCCAUGGAGCUUUACUGUAGCUUGACAUUGGGUCUUGGUACUACAUGUACAGGAUAGGUGGGAGGCUUUGAAACCAGGACGCCAGUUUUGGCGGAGCCAUCCUUGGGAUACCACCCUUGUAGUACUGGGACUCUAACCAUAGGCCAUGAAUCUGGUCUUGGGACACUGUCAGGUGGGCAGUUUGACUGGGGCGGUCGCCUCCCAAAAGGUAACGGAGGCGCUCAAAGGUUCUCUCAGUACGGUCGGAAAUCGUACGUAGAGUGUAAAGGCAAAAGAGAGCUUGAUUGCAAGACAUACAGGUCGAGCAAGGAUGAAAAUCGGACUUAGUGAUCCGGUGGUUCUGCGUGGAAGGGCCAUCGCUCAACGGAUAAAAGCUACCCUGGGGAUAACAGGCUUAUCUC
rnacentral:rRNA from 1 species